UACCAGCACCCCGAGUGGUCGGGACGAUUAUUGGGCCUAAAGCAUCCGUAGCCGGUCCCGCAAGUCUUCCGUUAAAUCCAGCUGCUUAACAGAUGGGCUGCGGAGGAUACUACAAGGCUAGGAGGCGGGAGAGGCAAGCGGUACUCAGUGGGUAGGGGUAAAAUCCUCUGAUCCAUUGAAGACCACCAGUGGCGAAGGCGGCUUGCCAGAACGCACUCGACGGUGAGGGAUGAAAGCUGGGGGAGCAAACCGG
rnacentral:rRNA from 1 species